rnacentral:rRNA from 1 species
GAUGAACGCUGGCGGCGUGCUUAACACAUGCAAGUCGAACGGAGAAAGGGUAGCUUGCUAUCUUUUCUUAGUGGCGGACGGGUGAGUAACGCGUGGGUAACCUGCCCUUUGCAGGGGGAUAACAGUGAGAAAUCACUGCUAAUACCGCAUACCAACUUCUUUCGCAUGAAGGAAGUUUGAAAGAUUUAUCGGCAAAGGAUGGACCCGCGUUGGAUUAGCUAGUUGGUGAGAUAACAGCCCACCAAGGCAACGAUCCAUAGCCGGCCUGAGAGGGUGAACGGCCACACUGGGACUGAGACACGGCCCAGACUCCUACGGGAGGCAGCAGUGGGGAAUAUUGCACAAUGGGCGAAAGCCUGAUGCAGCGACGCCGCGUGAAGGAUGAAGGUCUUCGGAUUGUAAACUUCUAUCAGCAGGGAAAAAGGGCCUAUGGCCUAUGACGGUACCUGACUAAGAAGCCCCGGCUAACUACGUGCCAGCAGCCGCGGUAAAAGUCAACG